UAUAACUUAGUUGGUAAAGUGCUUGCCUCACAUGCACAAGGCCCUGGGUUCAAUCCCCAGUA
rnacentral:tRNA from 1 species